GGGCUAUUUUGGUGACAACUUCCCGUGUGUUCACUGGGUGGCCCAACGCUGUCCAUCUCCCCCGGAGCUCAGAGCCAGAGGAAAUGGGUGUGAGUGGAGCCCGAACUUACUCACAACGCUGAACUUCCUGCCUGUAAGUAUUCUUAGACACUAGCAUGAGUUUCUAAAACAGAUUAGGUAUUGUCCUUGGAGCUCUUCAGCACGUUAAUUCCUAAGGGCUUUAAGAGUUUAGGUGUGGCCCAGAGCUGAGGGUGUGGACAAAACACGAUCCCAAGAUUCCUUCCAACCCCAGAUUCUGUUUCCAUCGCCCCAUCUAUUAUGGCCCCGAUGAUUUUUGAUGUCUUCUUUUGCCUGAGGUUAAACCGUAACCGUCCGAUGACCAGGAAAAAGUGCUUUGAGCAUAGUGUCCUGGGAGACCAGUGAGCCUCCCCAGAGCAUGAGGAGGAGGAAAGAUUAGCUUAUUGGUUUGUUUUCCCAGAAGGAAUGCUUAAAUUUAGGAAGGGUUGUUUACUCGUCAGACAAGUUCAUGACGACAAUGUUAGAAGUUUAAAACAGGGAGAAAAAUUCACUGUGAUCUUGUUACUCCCAACUGGCCGAGUGACCACCUUCUCUUUCCAUUCACCGGCCUGAGAUUUCCCCAGGACGUCGUGAAUGUUUAACCUGGCAUCCAGCCUCACCCACAGAGGAGUCUUACCUUAUGGCGACUGGGCCUUACUGAAAUUCCCUUGGCUAUUUGUGGACUUUUACUCUUCUUUAUAAGUUUUUAGAAUUAAUCUUUCCACUUGAAAAAUCAUCUUGAAUUCAAGUUCCGGGGAUCUAAGGUACGGCAGACACAUGCUGUAUGUCCUUUACCUGUGAAGGAGCUCAGAGCGUGUCACCCCAAAAUAUGCCGCUUAGGCACAUUGAUUAUUUUAAGUUAAAGGCACUUGAGAAAGAGCAGGUGCAAGAAGGGCACUCUGACCCUCCUUUUCCUCCUGAAAGCAGGAGGUAAAACUCCAGUGUGAAAGGAGACAAUGAUGUGCAGUGGAGAAGACGGAAAGGAGAGAGUAUGAAGGAGGUGAUGUGGGGAACCCAAACCUUGAAACUGGGACAGGACUUCAACAAAGGAGAUGUGGAGAACUUCCUGGGAGGAGAAAGCUCAGAAUAUCUAUACAUAGGAUGGCAACGUGCCUACCUAGAGUUUCCCCGCUUGUUGGCAGAUGCAGUCACAUGACACAGUCCUGCUCAGUGAGAUAGACUUUGUCCUCGAAUUCCAUGAGUGGGAGCACCCAAUCAGAACUGCCUGUAUCUGGAUGAUGUCUGUCAUUUAUCUACCUCCCAGACUUGUUGGGAUCAUCAGGUGAGGUGACGGACAUGAAAAUGCUUUGUCAACAGGAAUGUGCCAUAAAGAUACAAGUUUUACCUCCUAAAUUCCAUCCCUAAGAAAAUAUAGAUUAGUUUGGUUUGCUCUUGAACUUGAUAUAAAUGGAAUUACCUAUGGUUUUGGCAUUGUGACCUGCAGCUGCUAUCCACGUCCUUGUCCAUGUCUCCUGGUGAAUAUGUGCUCCCUGGGGCUGACGUUCUAGCCCUGGGAGCUGACCUUACUUUGUGCUAAUGAGAUUUCUACCCAUCUGUGACCAUAAAGGGAAAGCUGAUAAAGACCCUGGAGUUUGGGAAUCUGAAGCGGUGGAUCUUAUUGUCAUGGAUUGGUUCCUAUUCAUGACAAAUUCAUAUUGCAAAGGACCGAAAACCCAGCAGUUUUCUUAAACGUCAGAAUAAACCUGCUGUUAUUUUAAAAGCAUUAAAAAUUCUUUUAAACGGCAAAAAUCACUCUUAAAAGUCUUUUUAUUUCAAAUUAAUAGCUUCUAAAUGUGAAGGUCUCUGCUUUGUGACUAACAAAAACGUUUGCCAAUAUUCCAAAUUAGAUUAUUUUGUUUUUAGCAAGAAUCAGACUUUUUUUUUGAGCCAGAGGAGACUUUA
ensembl:lncRNA